GACGAACGCUGGCGGCGUGCUUAACACAUGCCAGUCGAACGGAAAGGCCCUGCUUUUGUGGGGUGCUCGAGUGGCGAACGGGUGAGUAACACGUGAGUAACCUGCCCUUGACUUUGGGAUAACUUCAGGAAACUGGGGCUAAUACCGGAUAGGAGCUCCUGCUGCAUGGUGGGGGUUGGAAAGUUUCGGCGGUUGGGGAUGGACUCGCGGCUUAUCAGCUUGUUGGUGGGGUAGUGGCUUACCAAGGCUUUGACGGGUAGCCGGCCUGAGAGGGUGACCGGCCACAUUGGGACUGAGGUACGGCCCAGACUCCUACUGGAGGCAGCAGUGGGGAAUAUUGCACAAUGGGCGGAAGCCUGAUGCAGCAACGCCGCGUGCGGGAUGACGGCCUUCGGGUUGUAAACCGCUUUCGCCUGUGACGAAGCGUGAGUGACGGUAAUGGGUAAAGAAGCACCGGCUAACUACGUG
rnacentral:rRNA from 1 species